GAAACCAAGUUUGGAUUUAAGUCAUUAAGAAAUCCCCCACAGGAAUGGAAUAAAUGCCUAAUUUCAGAUUUUGAGGUUUUUUUGGGUUUUGUUUUGCCUAUGUCUUGAGUGUCAGCCUCUUCUCCAGCUGAAACCCUGAACUGUCGCCACACCCCUAUGCAAGGCACUCUCCUGCAAGGAAAGCAAAACAAUAGCAGAGUAGGUUGGUCAUUUUUCUCUGUCAA
rnacentral:lncRNA from 1 species